ACAUGUUUUUUUGAUUUUAAUUUAAAGUCGGGCCUGCUCCAUGAAAAUUUUUAAAUAGCUGCAGUAAUUUAACUGUACAAAGGUAGCAUAAUCAAUAGUUUUUUAAUUGAAAGCUAGAAUGAAUGGUUUGAUAAGGUAAAUAUUGUCUCAAUUUUAAAAAAAUUAUAAUUUUUUUUAUAGUAAAAAUACUAUAAUGAAUUUAAAAGACGAGAAGACCCUAUAGAAUUUUAUAAAUUUAAAUUUUAAAUUAAAUUAUUUAUAAUAUAUUUAAAAUUUAAAUUUAUUUGGUUGGGGAAAUUAUUAAAUUAAGAAAAUUUUAAUAUUUAUAAACAAUAAUUAUUGAAUAAUUGAUCUUUUAAUAAAAAUUUAAAGAAAAAAUUACCUUAGGGAUAACAGCGUAAUUUUUUUGGAGAGUUCAUAUUGAUAAAAAAGAUUGCGACCUCGAUGUUGAAUUAAGAUAAAAUUUUAUUGUAGAGAAUAAAAAUUUUUGGUCUGUUCGACCAUUAAAAUCUUACGUGAUCUGA
rnacentral:rRNA from 1 species